UAUGAAGAACGUAGCGAAAUGCGAUAAGUAAUGUGAAUUGCAGAAUUCAGUGAAUCAUCGAAUCUUUGAACGCACAUUGCGCCCGCCAGUAUUCUGGCGGGCAUGCCUGUCCGAGCGUCAUUUCAACCAUCAAGCCCCGGGCUUGUGUUGGGGACCUGCGUCCGACGCAGGCCCCGAAAACCAGUGGCGGGCUCGCUGUCCACACCGAGCGUAGUAGCUAACCUCGCUCCGGAGUGGCGCGGGCGCCUGCCGUAAAACCCCCCAAUUUUACAAGGUUGACCUCGGAUCAGGUAGGAAUACCCGCUGAACUUAAGCAUAUCAAUAAGCGGAGGA
rnacentral:misc_RNA from 1 species